UCCAAAGACAAAGUCGACCGGAGCCAAACUAACGCGAGUGUGAAGUGCCAGCCCACCACGUAUCUACCCGUCCAAGAGCACAUUCACCAUGUAGAGCUGAUAGACCGCCAGAACUGGCAGCUCCGCAGUGAGUCAGUGUCGGCCGACCCACUGCCACGCGAGCCACCAACUAAAGCUUGGCGAGCCGCGCAAUGAGUAACACUGGUCUAGUGGUUCGGCUUCCAAUUACAGCACGAGGUGGUUGUGAGUUCAACACCACAGCUGCUCCAGAUGUGAUACGAUCUGGAGUACAUCCUGCGGGUCAGAUGGGAUUCUAUUGAUGCAGCUUAUCACCAAACGUUCAGCCGCUACAGAGACAGUUAAAGUCUUAUUAUACAUCUUCUUGC